CUUCAUCCAUGUGCUAGUUCAGCCUGUGAGAUGCUGGUGAGCCCACCUCCAGGCACUCACGGACUCCCCACCCAUUGAGUGUGGCCUGGAUUUAGUGACUCAAUCAAACGUGACAGAGUGCUGGGGUGUCACUUUCAAGACUGGGUUAUGUGAAGACUGCGGCCUCCAUCUGGGGUGCUCUCUCUUGGAUUGCUUGCUCAGGGAUGUGGGGAGAGCUGCCGUGUGGAGAGGCCCAUGUGAGUUGACUUGGAUGUGAACCUUCUGCGGCCUGCUAAUAGCCAUGUGUUUGUGUGGACACUGCUGUCAUUUCUCUUGAGAAGAUACCGAGGAGUCAGAUUGCUGGAUCCCAUGAAGAAUGUGCACCUGGGAUUGGCUCUUGCUUCCUAAGGAACCUCAAAAAAGCUGCAACCUAUUGGAGACUUUUGAUUCAGCAUCAAGGAUAUGUGUUAGACUUUGGUUCUUUUCUGUUGGGACACAGUUGAUUCUGACUGUCUUAAAGUUAGGCCCUUCUAAAGAUUUAGACUAACAAAUUAUUUGAAUGGGA